GCCGCGGUGGUGAAAUUGGUAUACACGUACGGUUCAGAGCCGUAUGUUCGUAAGGACAUGGGAGUUCGAGUCUCCCCCGCGGCA
rfam:Candidatus Buchananbacteria bacterium RIFCSPLOWO2_01_FTLL_46_12 rifcsplowo2_01_scaffold_9854, whole genome shotgun sequence.